rnacentral:lncRNA from 1 species
GAAUAUGAUUUGGAACAAACUUCCUAAGUCAUAUUCAUAUGCUUUGGCCAAAGACUUUAAAAUCAUAUCUUAGAGUAUUCUCUUUCCACCAUGGAAGGUUAGAGAUCCCUUGUUGUGCAUUCAUAUGCCUACACGACUAGAUAGCUUGACCUCAACAAUGCCGUGGACACUCCGAUGGAAUGCCAUUGACAUAAUCAAAGAUCAAGGACCUAACCAUUAGACAUCUAUGAUGCCUCAGGUCAAAGGACUACUUUGCAUAUUGCAACUUUAGAGUUCAUACAUGACAUGUAUGUUCAAACUCUCUUUUGAUCGUUGUUCAGUGUACUCGAUUACUCUUUCGAGCACCUAUGUGUUUGUCUUAGUGUACAACACUAAAUGACUUGAGACUAGUCAUACUCACACUUGAGUCAACAUAACACAUACUAACCUUAGCGGAUUGUCAAUGCCCAAUUGGCAAUCCUAUGGCUAGGAAC